AGAUCUUCACUGGAGGAGGGGUGAAAUGGCUCAAGGGUACCCCACAGAAGUACACAUGAGUCUAAGCUGGAACCCUGGGACCAAGUUCAAACCAAUGGAAGCUUUUCCAUUGACUUCGAUGGGCUUUGGAUCAGGCCCCAACUGACUGUCCACUGUUGACGAACAGCAUUAAUCACUAAAACAUUGCAAGUCUGUUUGUUCAUUAUUCUGGGGGGUCUUAUGUUUUUUCAAUCAAUCUCACAUACAUUAGGAUAGUAUUGUUACUAGAGAAAUGCUGUUCUGCACCGUUUUCACUCCAAAAUUAACCACUGGAGGAGUUGCACCAACUUUCUACAAAUGACAUGAGUGGAAAUGUUUCCAGGCAGGUCACUGGAUUUGGAUUCUCGAUAUCAAUGGGACUGAUUGCAAAACUUACUCUUUCAAUCCUUCAAUUCUGUCAGGAUUGCUCUGCUUCUCCAUCACCGUCAUCCACUCAUCAUAAAGUUCAGAUGAGAGUAGCUUAUCUGGGAUAUUUCGGAGGAAAUCCUGCAACGAAGAGACCUUUGGUUUAGCAUUUGGAUAAUACCAUUUACCAUGGAAUGAACAUAAAGACGUUUCUUGCCUUUU